ensembl:snoRNA
CUCUUCCACUGAUGAGAAGCACUGGGCGAUGACUAUUGCUGAUUUGAGCAUGUGCAUACUUGCUGGGCCUUUGACAUCCAGCAACUCCUGAGGAAGAG